AUAAUUUUCAUAGUAAACCUACACAGUCAUUCGUUUUUCAGUAACCGCGAUCGUUUCAUUUUCAUAUGCGCGGAUUAUUAAUAGAAGCAAAAGAAUUCAACAGCGACUCAUUUUCACACAAAGAAGCAAGUGUAAAAGUUAAUUGCCUACGCAAAUACUACCUACAAGAGUAGCAUAUCGACCAAAAGUGUAUUUCCACUCAAAGUGUCAAAAGGGAAAUAUAAACCAUAUUAGAAAUAUUUCUCAUACAUACAAAAACGGGACAAGAAGCAUGAAGAUUAAACAGCCAUGGAAUGGUCUCGUUUGUUGUUUUUAUCUGUUACCUCGGUUGCGUUGUAGUUUUUUCUUUUUGUGGGAGAGAGAAAGCGCAAAUUUAAGAUACCGAUAGACGUCAGCCGAAUCUCUUAUACAGAUCGGCUAGAAGAAGUUUGAAGCGUGUGUCACCUAAUGAAAUGGAAAGAAAGUAAUUGCCUGUCCAGCGUAGUGUAGUUUAUGCUUUCCCUUCGGCAAACAUUUCCAAUGAAUUCAAUGGUAAUUGUUUGAAUUUCCUAUGGGAUCCCCUCUGUUACUAUGUCAGAAAACCUCUACAAAGAUAUUUGGUAUUUCCUCACAACCGCUUCCUUGUUUUCUCUUCGGUCGGUUGAAUGUCCCGGAGCAAGUGACACCCAUAGUGGUGGUAUCGGCGUAGCGUGAGUGAGUUUUCAGAUAAACCAAGCACUGGAGCUGAGAUCGAUCCAUAGAAUAGCGAGGCGGACGAACAAAACAAAUUAAUAUGCUAUUUGAUUUGCUUUCUUUGUUUGUAAGGCGAUUUAUUUUUAACAACUGAAGCUUAGUGCGUGCGUGAUACACAAUUACAAAGUCAUCGUCAGCUUGACCUAGAAGAAAGUUAACAAACAAUUUUUUAUUAGCAAAGGGAAUAUAUUUUUUUUUUUCGCUUUUUUUUUUUUUUUUUUUUUUUACAAUUCUAUCAAACAGACGUUAUGUAGGCUAAGCUACUUGCCACAAAACCAUUCUUGGACAAAUGAAACAAAGAUAAAAAAAAAAAAAAAACAAGAAUAAAACGAAUGAAAAAUUUUUUUUUCUUUCAAUACUUCAAAGAAAAAAAUUUACACACACACAGGAGCUAGGUCCUUCUUUUUUUUUUUUUAGGUAAUUAAUAAUAAUGCGUUGCGUACCCAAGCAAAUCAUUCGUAGCCAGCCAAUGCAAGCAACUUAUGAAUGAAGCGCACGAUGAGCAAUAAGGGUGGGUUAGUAUUUAUGCCAAUGGAGUUAGUGCUUGCGAAUUGGAUUAAACUGGACUGCAUUUUACAAUUCAUAUCUUUGUUAUAAAGGUCUGUUAAAAGUUAAAACUACGCAUUUCCCUGCUUCCCCCUUGCCCCUCCUUUCAUUUACUCUCUCUCCUUAACUGCCGAUCCAGUGAAUGAAACAUGGAUUGUCGGUUUUUGAAAGCACUAAGUGUGUGUGUAUGUAUGGGCAGAAAAAAAGUAGAGAAAACCCCAAGAUAGAGCUGAAU